UGAAUGGGGGAAAGAAAUGGAGAAAGAAGGAAUAGAUAAAGAUAAACAAAAGGGAAUAUAGAAAGAAUAAAGAUAAAUUGAGUUCAGUAGAAGGAAGAGGAGGAGAAACAGCUAGAGACAGAAAUGGCAACACACACACACAUACACACACGAGUUAUGGACAAACGUACACACACGCACACACAGACAAACGUACACACCACACCCACGCUUCUCUUCCCCUCUCUCCUCCUUCCCUCCUACCCCUCUUCUCCUUGCCUCCUACCCUCUCCUCUCUUCUCUCUCCUUCUUCAGUUCCUUCACUACCGCUGUGUGGGUUGGUCGCUUUGCACGCGGGCGAGAAGUAAACAAGGAAAAAUGAUACACGGGAAUACAUGAAUGGGAAUGAAGGCUGUGUGACUGAUGGCUCGUGAUAACAGAUUUGAAUUCCACGUCUCAAUAAGCUGACAAUGGGACGACCACCACCACCAUCUCCACUACCCAUCACCACCACCACCCUGCUUCCCUCACUCCCCCUCUCCCUCCUCCUACUCCUCCUCCACCUGCUCUGUCUCACUCAAGGGACUGGCUUCACCCAUCACCCUGCAGCCUCCCCACCCAGAGAGGAAUGGGGAAUGAGAGGAAAGGGGAAUUUUGUGGAGAGUGAGAGUGGGGAAGAGCAGCAGGAGGAGGAGGAAGAGGAGCAGGAGGAGGAGGAGGAGGAUGGAGGAGAAGAUUGGGAGGUUGAGGAAGAGAGUGUGGUGUUUUCUUCUUCCCCAGCUGUGGGGAGGCAGAGGGGGGCAGCAGCAGGGGUUGGGGGGGAUGUGUGGUGGCAGGUGGUGGUGCCUGAGGACCCAGCGGGGGGAGCUGAGCCUGCUAGGUGGGAUGGGUGGCCCUCCCUACACCCCCUCCCCCCACAUGGCCCCCACCCGACCUCUCCCUCCCUCCCCAGUGACUACGAGAUGCUGCAGGAAGGAUGGACCGAGUAUGCUGUGACUUGAGUGUGUGUGUGUGUGUGUGUGUGUGUUCUAUUCUUCAAUUUUGUUCUACUAUUUAUUUUUCUUUAUUUUCAGAUUUUUGCUAACCAUCCUCUCUCUCUCUCUCUCUCUCUCUCUCUCUCUCUCUCUCUCUCUCUCUCUCUCUCUCUCUCUCUCUCUCUCUCUCUCCUAUUGUUUGUUUUUAUACUUUUCACCUCCCCUUUUUUUUCCAUUCAUAUUUUUUCAUCUUGUUAUCCCUGUCUUUUGGUUCCCCAUCUCACUGUCUGUCUCAACAUGCCAUUACUUGUGAGGUAGUGAAGAUGAGAUGAGGCAAUUAAGAGAUAAAACAAUGAUGGUGAGACACAACGACAAUGGUGGUGAUAAUUUCUUCAUAAUGUCACAUCCUAUUAUCAUUCAAGAUGACCUAAUGAGGUGAUAAAUGAUGAUGAUGAUGAUGAUGAUGAUGAUGAUGAUGAUGGUGAUGAUGAUGAUGAUGAUGAUGGUGAUGGUGAUAAAAAUGAUGGGAAUAAUGAUGGUGAUGACAAUGAUGAUGGUAAUGAUGAUGAUGAUGAUGAUGGGAAUAAUGAUUGUGGUGAUGAUGAUGAUGAUGAUGCCACAUAAUUAAUGAGGUAGUAAUGACCAGGUAACAAGGCAACAGGUGGUUAAUUAAGGUAGAGUGAUAGGUAAUUAAGAGGAAAAAAAAUAAACAAAGAAAAAAGAAAGACAAAAGAAAGAAUGGAUGAGAGAAGAUAUAAAUGAGUAAAUAAUGGAAAUACACAGACAGGUAUGGGUGAUUAAGGUUAACGAGUGACAGUUAAGGUAGCGAGAUCGUUUGAAUGGUCCAGGUAAUUAGAGGUGAAUAAUCCUGUAUAAUACUCCUUCUGUAAUGAAUAAUUGUGGUUCUGUUAAGUAUAAUUACCUAAUUAUUAUUAUUAUUUUUUUUUUUUGUAAUUCUGCCAAAGUAUGUGCAUUUGUAUAUGUGUGUGUAUAGUAUGUAGUGUUAAUUUUGUACACACACACACACACACACACACACACACACACACAGUUGUUAAAAAGUUGUUGAUUUCCAUGAUAAGACCAAGAUUGGAAUAAGCAGUAGUGGUGUGGUCUCCUCUUAUAAAGAGGAAUAUUAUAAAAUUAGAAAGAGUACAAAGAGCAGUCACUAAGAUGGUUCCAGAGUUGAGUAAGUCGAUUUAUGAAGAGAGAUUAAGAAUGUUGGAAAUUCCUACCCUUGAAAAUAGGAGAGAGAGAGGAUUUAAUAAACAUCUAUAGAAUGAUAAAUGGUAUGGAAAAUGUGGACAAAGAAUGUUUUAUAACUUUAGACAUACAGAGUACAAGGGGACACAGUAAGAAGCUGAAGGAAGUGAACUGUAGAAGAGACAUCAAGAAGUAGAGUUUUCCUCACAGAAGUGUGAACAAACGGAAUGAACUCAGUGAAAACGCUGUCAAUGCCGUAACUGUCCGUGCUUUUAAGACCAAACUGGAUAGAUAUAGAGACGGGACACUAUGAGAUUACUCCCCUCCCGUAAACCACAACUAGGUAAAUACACACGCACACACACACUUUCUUGCCUAGAUCAGUUUAAUUUAAGGAUAGGUUAAGUUAGGUUAUCGUCAACUUAACCUAAUGAAAUGUAAACUAACCUAAUCUAAACACACACACACACACACACACACACACACACACGCACACACACCAUACACACACACACACACACAUUUUUUUUUACUUUACUACAAGUUUAUCUUUUUUAAGCUGACUUCAUUUGUUCUUUUGUUUAUCUUUGUCUAUUUUCACCUUUUCAUUCCUAUUAAUUAUUUACUUUUAACAUCUCAUCCGUCCACACACACACACACACACACACACACACACACACACACACACACACACACACACACACACACACACACACACACACACAUACACACACAC